rnacentral:rRNA from 1 species
CAGUCGCCACGGGAAUACGGAGGGAGCUAGCGUUGUUCGGAAUUACUGGGCGUAAAGCGCGCGUAGGCGGUUACUCAAGUCAGAGGUGAAAGCCCGGGGCUCAACCCCGGAACUGCCUUUGAAACUAGGUGACUAGAAUCUUGGAGAGGUCAGUGGAAUUCCGAGUGUAGAGGUGAAAUUCGUAGAUAUUCGGAAGAACACCAGUGGCGAAGGCGACUGACUGGACAAGUAUUGACGCUGAGGUGCGAAAGCGUGGGGAGCAAACAGGAUUAGAUACCCCCGUAGUCCCUGUCUCUUAUAC